UACGUAGGGUGCAAGCGUUAUCCGGAAUUAUUGGGCGUAAAGAGCUCGUAGGCGGUUUGUCGCGUCUGCUGUGAAAACUGGGGGCUCAACCCCCAGCCUGCAGUGGGUACGGGCAGACUAGAGUGAUGUAGGGGAGACUGGAAUUCCUGGUGUAGCGGUGAAAUGCGCAGAUAUCAGGAGGAACACCGAUGGCGAAGGCAGGUCUCUGGGCAUUAACUGACGCUGAGGAGCGAAAGCGUGGGGAGCGAACAGG
rnacentral:rRNA from 1 species